UGGGGAAUAUUGCACAAUGGGCGCAAGCCUGAUGCAGCCAUGCCGCGUGUAUGAAGAAGGCCUUCGUGUUGUAAAGUACUUUCAGUCGGGAGGAAGGUGGUAAGGUUAAUAACCUUAUCAAUUGACGUUACCGACAGAAGAAGCACCGGCUAACUCCGUGCCAGCAGCCGCGGUAAUACGGAGGGUGCAAGCGUUAAUCGGAAUUACUGGGCGUAAAGCGCACGCAGGCGGUUGAUUGAGUCAGAUGUGAAAUCCCCGGGCUUAACCCGGGAAUUGCAUCUGAUACUGGUCAGCUAGAGUCUUGUAGAGGGGGGUAGAAUUCCAUGUGUAGCGGUGAAAUGCGUAGAGAUGUGGAGGAAUACCGGUGGCGAAGGCGGCCCCCUGGACAAAGACUGACGCUCAGGUGCGAAAGCGUGGGGAGCAAACAGG
rnacentral:rRNA from 1 species